AUCUGCAAGCUGAGGAAAAAGGAGGCCAGUCCAAAUCCCAAAGCUGAAGAACUCGGAGUCCGAUGUUCAAGGGCAGGAAGCAUCGAGCACGGGAGAACGAUGGAUCUCUUCCGCAUCCUCCAGGCCGCAUCUCCAGCACCUCACACCCUGCUGGCAGCGACAGACACUGGUCCCCGCCAGCUCCGGGGUCUUGUCCCGUGCCCAGCCAGCACCCAGCCAUCGCCCAGCCAGUGCCCAGCCAUGCUGCCCCGGGCGCUGCUGCUCUCCUUCUGCGCAGCAGAACAGGGUUGGGAAGGGAGCUUCGCCCUCAUCGCCCCUAACCAGACAGUACUCAGCCAGCGUCCAGAAGGCAGCAGUCAGAAACAGUGCGGCUCCAGCAGCUUUCUUUCUAGCGGGGCUAAGACAUUCCUCAAAGAGACGGCCGCGCAGGUCACUUCAGAAGCAUGUGCAAUGCAGGGAAGGACAUCACCGGGGUGUGGACAGGGACGGGCGUUGUGGGGGUCUGUGGACCAGGGGGCGGCAAGGGUUCUCGGAGAAAGGGAGCCGUGGGUGAGCCUGAGGGGGAGAAGGAGCCACCAAGAAAGCCAGGAAAAGCCCUGGCUUGGAGGGUGGCGGCUGCUGAUGCAGGUGGGAGGGGAGGGCGCAGGGCCCCAUGGCUGCGACCCACAUGGCGGUGGGUGGUCAGGUUUUAGGCCCUCUGGCUGCAGAGUCGGGGCGUGUGGGGACUGCCGAGGGUAGAGGGGUCUUGGGCCCAGGUGUCGGCAGGCAGGCAGAGAAGGGCUAAGUUCAAGGCCAUGGAACUGACUAGAGGCUCCCGGGUAGGGCUGGAGAGGCCGGCGGGAGGGGCGCCCUGCAUGGGGCUGGGGUGCCAGGGGUGGACACCGUCCUAAAAUCAAUUAUGCGGGCCACAGCCAGUCAUUAAAAAAAUAAGCAGAAUGCUUUUCUCAGUGACAGGAAGCAUCCUCCCCUACGGUGGGUGUGAGGAGCUUGUUCUCCUUGGCAAGUGCCUCCUCAGCCCUGGCCCCUGGCUUCCAUGCCACGGCCUGUGCCCAGCUCUCCAGUCUCAUUCUCCUCUCCUGGGGCAUUUAGCUUGAAGGGUUCCUUGUGGCCCAGACCCCCAAGGUCCCAGCACCAAGC
rnacentral:lncRNA from 1 species